rnacentral:rRNA from 1 species
GAUGAACGCUAGCUACAGGCUUAACACAUGCAAGUCGAGGGACCGGCGCACGGGUGAGUAACACGUAUCCAACCUGCCCUUUACUCGGGGAUAGCCUUUCGAAAGAAAGAUUAAUACCCUAUAUAAAGGAUGGGGAUGCGUUCCAUUAGGUUGUUGGUGAGGGAAUGGCCCACCAAGCCUUCGUUGGAUAGGGGUUCUGAGAGGAAGGGCCCCCACAUGGGAACAGAGACACGGUCCAAACUACUACGAGAGGAAGCAGUGAGGAAUAUUGGUAAAUGGGCGCUAGCCUGAACCAGCCAAGUAGAGUGAAGGAUGAAGGCUUAUGGGUCGUAAACUUCUUUUAUAUAAGAAUAUGUAUUAUAUGAAUAAGGAUCGGCUAACUCCGUGCCAGCAGCCGCGGUAAUAC